GGAUUAGGCAUGCAAGUCGAACGAGGGAGUGCCUCGAAAGGGGUACAAACCGAGUGGCGUAAGGGUGAGUAAUGCAUUGAUAACCUACCUUUAAGAUGAGGAUAACAACGUUUCGAGCAAUCGAAGCUACCGAAAGGGUUGCUAAUACUCAAUAAAACUUUUAAUACUUCGGUGUUAAAAGUCAAAUGUCUGGAACCGAAAGGUUCCAUUUGCUUGGAGAGGGGUCAAUGUCCUAUCAGCUAGUUGGUAGGGUAAUAGCCUACCAAGGCGAAGACGGGUAGCCGGCCUGAGAGGGUGGUCGGCCACAUUGGGACUGAGACACUGCCCAGACUCCUACGGGAGGCUGCAGUCGAGAAUCUUUCGCAAUGCCCGAAAGGGUGACGAAGCGACGCCGCGUGUGGGAAGAAGGCCUUCGGGUUGUAAACCACUGUCGGGAGUUAAGAAAUGUAAGGAUGUUAAUAGCGUCCUUACUUGACUAAGGCUCCAGAGGAAGCCACGGCUAACUCUGUGCCAGCAGCCGCGGUAAUACAGAGGCGGCAAGCGUUGUUCGGAAUUAUUGGGCGUAAAGAGCACGUAGGCGGCCUCAUAAGUCAGUUGUGAAAGCCUUCUGCUUAACGGAAGAACAGCAUCUGAUACUGCGAGGCUAGAGUGCGGGAGGGGAGAGUGGAACUUCUGGUGGAACGGUGAAAUGCGUAGAUAUCAGAAGGAACACCGGCGGCGAAAGCGACUCUCUGGCCCGUAACUGACGCUGAGUGUGCGAAAGCUAGGGGAGCAAACGGGAUUAGAUACCCCGGUAGUCCUAGCCGUAAACGAUGGGCACUAAGUAGAGGGGUUUU
rnacentral:rRNA from 1 species